UGGCAACGAUAGCGCGGUGGUCCCACCUGACCCCAUGCCGAACUCAGAAGUGAAACGCCGUAGCGCCGAUGGUAGUGUGGGGUCUCCCCAUGUGAGAGUAGGGCAUUGCCA
rnacentral:rRNA from 7 species